rnacentral:rRNA from 1 species
UAUGUAGGUGGUUAUGUAAGUCGAGCGUGAAAUCCAUUGGCUCAACCAAUGAACUGCACUCGAAACUGCGUAACUUGAGUUCAGGAGAGGAAAGCAGAAUUCCCGGUGUAAGAGUGAAAUCUGUAGAGAUCGGGAGGAAUACCAGUGGCGAAGGCGGCUUUCUGGACUGAUACUGGCACUGAAAUACGAAAGCUAGGGGAGCAAACAGGAUUAGAUACCCUGGUAGUCC